rnacentral:rRNA from 1 species
AGGACGAACGCUGGCGGCGUGCUUAACACAUGCAAGUCACGGGGGCCCGCAAGGGCAACCGGCGAACGGGUGCGUAACACGUGAGCAACCUACCGAUUUGUGGGGGAUAGCCGGCCCAACGGCCGGGUAAUACCGCAUACGCUUGUCUGGUCUCCUGACUGGGCAAGGAAACCUCCGGGGCAAAUCGAGGGGCUCGCGUCCUAUCAGCUAGUUGGCGAGGUCACGGCUCACCAAGGCGACGACGGGUAGCUGGU